rnacentral:rRNA from 1 species
AUUGAACGCUGGCGGCAGGCCUAACACAUGCAAGUCGAGCGGAUGAAGGGAGCUUGCUCCUGGAUUCAGCGGCGGACGGGUGAGUAAUGCCUAGGAAUCUGCCUGGUAGUGGGGGAUAACGUCCGGAAACGGGCGCUAAUACCGCAUACGUCCUGAGGGAGAAAGUGGGGGAUCUUCGGACCUCACGCUAUCAGAUGAGCCUAGGUCGGAUUAGCUAGUUGGUGGGGUAAAGGCCUACCAAGGCGACGAUCCGUAACUGGUCUGAGAGGAUGAUCAGUCACACUGGAACUGAGACACGGUCCAGAAGCCUACGGGAGGCAGCAGUGGGGAAUAUUGGACAAUGGGCGAAAGCCUGAUCCAGCCAUGCCGCGUGUGUGAAGAAGGUCUUCGGAUUGUAAAGCAAUUUAAGUUGGGAGGAAGGGCAGUAAGUUAAUACCUUGCUGUUUUGACGUUACCAACAGAAUAAGCACCGGCUAACUUCGU